AUUGAACGCUGGCGGCAGGCCUAACACAUGCAAGUCGAACGAGUGGCGGACGGGUGAGUAAUGUCUGGGGAACUGCCUGAUGGAGGGGGAUAACUACUGGAAACGGUAGCUAAUACCGCAUACCAUCGGAUGUGCCCAGAUGGGAUUAGCUAGUAGGUGGGGGAAAGGCUCACAUAGGCGACGAUCACGAGCUGGUCGGAGAGGAUGAACGGCCACACUGGAACUGAGACACGGCCCAGACUCCGACGGUAGGCAGCAGUGGGGAAUAUUGCACAAUGGGCGCAAGCCUGAUGCAGCAAUGCCGCGUGUAUGAAGAAGGCCUUCGGUUUGUAAAGUACUGUCAGCGGGGAGGCGUUACCCGCAGAAGAAGCACCGGCUAACUCCGUGCCAGCAGCCGCGGUAAUUC
rnacentral:rRNA from 1 species